rnacentral:rRNA from 1 species
UGACGGAGCAUGCCGCGUGAGGGAUGAAGGCCUCUGGGCUGUAAACCUCUUUUAUCAUGGAAGAAAAUCUGACGGUACUUGAUGAAUAAACCACGGCUAAUUCCGUGCCAGCAGCCGCGGUAAUACGGGAGUGGCAAGCGUUAUCCGGAAUUAUUGGGCGUAAAGCGUCCGCAGGCGGCCCUUCAAGUCUGCUGUUAAAAAGUGGAGCUUAACUCCAUCAUGGCAGUGGAAUCUGUUGGGCUUGAUUGUGGUAGGGGCAUAGGGAAUUCCCGGUGUAGCGGUGAAAUGCGUAGAUAUCGGGAAGAACACCAGUGGCAAAUGCGCUCUGCUGGGCCAUCACUGACGCUCAUGGACGAAAGCCAGGGGAGCGAAAGGGAUUAGAUACCCCUGUAGUCCUGGCCGUAAACGAUGAACACUACGUGUCGGGGGAAUCGACCCCCUCGGUGUCGUAGCCAACGCGUUAAGUGUUCCGCCUGGGGAGUACGCACGCAAGUGUGAAACUCAAAGGAAAUUGACGG